rnacentral:rRNA from 1 species
CCUACGGGGGGCAGCAGUGAGGAAUAUUGGUCAAUGGACGAGAGUCUGAACCAGCCAAGUAGCGUGAAGGAUGACUGCCCUAUGGGUUGUAAACUUCUUUUAUAUGGGAAUAAAAUGUUCCACGUGUGGGAUUUUGUAUGUACCAUAUGAAUAAGGAUCGGCUAACUCCGUGCCAGCAGCCGCGGUAAUACGGAGGAUCCGAGCGUGAUCCGGAUUUAUUGGGUUUAAAGGGAGCGUAGGUGGGUUGUUAAGUCAGUUGUGAAAGUUUGGGGCUCAACCGUAAAAUUGCAGUUGAAACUGGCAGUCUGGAGUACAGUAGAGGUAGGCGGAAUUCGUGGUGUAGCGGUGAAAUGCUUAGAUAUCACGAAGAACUCCGAUUGCGAAGGCAGCUCACUGGACUGCAACUGACACUGAGGCUCGAAAGUGUGGGUAUCAAACAGGAUUAGAUACCCGAGUAGUC